GGGGAGUUCUUGCUCGUGGAAGCCAUUGGAGAGUUAUGAUUAUAAUAAAGAGGAGAUAAAUCAGAUUGCAUGCAACUCUAAAUCUUCUUUUCUUGCUGCUACGGAUGAUGGCGGUGAAAUUAAGAUUAUUGACAUUUGUCAGAAACGCAUUUACAAAACAUUAAGAGCUGGCCAUACAAGUGUAUCCUUUUUUUUUUCUUUUUUUUAAAUCAUUUAAGCACUUCCCUUUUUGUUCUUCUUCAAAUUAUGUGACUCAUGGUCGGCUAUCAACAAAAUAUUCUGCUGCAUAUCUUUUUAUUUUCCUUCUUUAUUUUGUUAAAUUCCAAUUGCUUCCUUCCAAGC